CCGGCGCGUAACACACAAUCAUCGGAGACUUGAAUAGUUACAACUCGAUCUUGGCGACAUAUUGAGUACCAAUUAAAUAAUAAUAUAAUCAAUGUUGUUUCGUUGCAAGUUAAAAACCAGUGACGUGAUAUAAUUAUAAAAUAAUUGAACAUUCGUGUAGUACACUGCAGUGUACCGCAACAGUGAGGAGUAUUAUCCGGAAAGGUUUAAAACAUUCAAAGCGAUGUCAAGACAAAAUGCAAUUGGAACCAAAAACGAUUUUAAAAAAUCUAUUAAAUUUCAAAAUAGGGGAUGAUG